rnacentral:rRNA from 1 species
CCUACGGGAGGCAGCAGCGGGGAAUAUUCCGCAAUGGGCGCAAGCCUGACGGAGCGACGCCGCGUGUGGGAUGAAGUCUUUCGGGAUGUAAACCACUGUCGGAGGGGAAGCGGUACCCUCCAAGAAAGCCCCGGCUAACUACGUGCCAGCAGCCGCGGUAAUACGUAGGGGGCGAGCGUUACCCGGAUUUACUGGGCGUAAAGCGCGUGUAGGCGGCUGGUCAAGCGUGGUGUGAAAUCUCCGGGCUCAACCCGGAAACUGCAUUGCGAACUGACCGGCUGGAGUGCAGGAGAGGGCAGCGGAAUUCCCGGUGUAGCGGUGAAAUGCGUAGAUAUCGGGAAGAACACCAGUGGCGAAGGCGGCUGCCUGGCCUGUACUGACGCUGAGACGCGAAAGCGUGGGGAGCGAACCGGAUUAGAUACCCUUGUAGUC